UAAAAAAAAGACAGGAGAAAGACAGGAAUAAAGGGAAGAUUAUUCUUUUCUUUCCCCAAACAGGAGAGUCUUCAACAUGCUACUGUGUUGAAUAACCGAAGGAGCCUGGGGAUGGGAGGUCAAGGAUUCGCAGCUGAGAGCAAGUCAUGGGUGGUGCAAGGCCCUGGGGCUGGGGCUGGAGCCCAGGAGAUAUGCCAGUGUCACAGGCUUGCAUGGGAUUGUGUUCUUGACUUCAGGAACAUCUGGACCAGGCUACAGUGGCUGAAAGAUGACAUGUUCUGAAAGGAUUUGCUGGCAUCCGUGCGUUCCCUUCAAGUGAUGACAAACUAAUUGCACUGGCUUCCUGUCACCAGCACAGUCUUCCUGCAGAGAUGGGGUGGAGGGUGAUAGGGGGAAGGGAGGAGUCAGUCUUUCCAAUGAGCUGGGUCCCAGCUUGCAUUUCUCUGCUAACACAGACGGGCUCUGUUGCACUUAACAUCUCUCCACUGUAAGUGGAGCUGUUGGACCAUCUUCCUCGUGCGCACUUGCCAUCGGUACCCUCACCGCCUUCAGAGGCUGAUUUGCUAUCAAAAGGCCUAGUCUUCAUGACUAAAAGGAAGUUUCUUCCUAUGAUACUCUGAGCCUACAUGGAGGCAGCUCUGACUCCUCUUAGCUUGCAACCCUGUUGUGAUUAAAAAAAUUAAAUAAAGCAGGAUGGGUGAUGUAGUGGUGCCUUCUG
rnacentral:lncRNA from 1 species